rnacentral:rRNA from 1 species
CGGGGGACAGGGUGACAGGUGGUGCAUGGUUGUCGUCAGCUCGUGUCGUGAGAUGUUGGGUUAAGUCCCGCAACGAGCGCAACCCUCGUCCUUAGUUGCCAUCAUUAAGUUGGGCACUUUAAGGAAACUGCCGGUGAUAAGCCGGAGGAAGGUGGGGAUGACGUCAAGUCCUCAUGGCCCUUACAGGCUGGGCUACACACGUGCUACAAUGGCAUCUACAGUGGGCAGCUAUUCCGCAAGGAUGCGCUAAUCUCCAAAAGAUGUCUCAGUUCGGAUUGUCCUCUGCAACUCGAGGGCAUGAAGGCGGAAUCGCUAGUAAUCGCGGAUCAGCAUGCCGCGGUGAAUACGUUCCCAGGCCUU